ACAGGCAUUCGUGAUGACUGAUCCUAACAACUCUAACUCUUGACGUUCUUGCAUUACUUGAGGCAGGUGUGCAUACACACCGUCCCAAUUAUCGAUACAGGAUUGUGGGUUAGUACAAAGGGAAAAUUCAGGCAUUGGAUCUGGCCAGGUGUCUAGAGGUAACCCCACCAAACAGGUAGAAAAAGGGUUUUCAGGGGUAGCAGCAGUGUCAUGGUUUAACCCCAGCCAGCAACUAAGCACCA